GAUGAACGCUGGCGGCGUGCCUAAUACAUGCAAGCCGAGCGAACGGACGAGAAGCUUGCUUCUCUGAUGUUAGCGGCGGACGGGUGAGUAACACGUGGAUAACCUACCUAUAAGACUGGGAUAACUUCGGGAAACCGGAGCUAAUACCGGAUAAUAUUUUGAACCGCAUGGUUCAAAAGUGAAAGACGGUCUUGCUGUCACUUAUAGAUGGAUCCGCGCUGCAUUAGCUAGUUGGUAAGGUAACGGCUUACCAAGGCAACGAUGCAUAGCCGACCUGAGAGGGUGAUCGGCCACACUGGAACUGAGACACGGUCCAGACUCCUACGGGAGGCAGCAGUAGGGAAUCUUCCGCAAUGGGCGAAAGCCUGACGGAGCAACGCCGCGUGAGUGAUGAAGGUCUUCGGAUCGUAAAACUCUGUUAUUAGGGAAGAACAUAUGUGUAAGUAACUGUGCACAUCUUGACGGUACCUAAUCAGAAAGCCACGGCUAACUACGUGCCAGCAGCCGCGGUAAUACGUAGGUGGCAAGCGUUAUCCGGAAUUAUUGGGCGUAAAGCGCGCGUAGGCGGUUUUUUAAGUCUGAUGUGAAAGCCCACGGCUCAACCGUGGAGGGUCAUUGGAAACUGGAAAACUUGAGUGCAGAAGAGGAAAGUGGAAUUCCAUGUGUAGCGGUGAAAUGCGCGGAGAUAUGGAGGAACACCAGUGGCGAAGGCGACUUUCUGGUCUGUAACUGACGCUGAUGUGCGAAAGCGUGGGGAUCAAACAGGAUUAGAUACCCUGGUAGUCCACGCCGUAAACGAUGAGUGCUAAGUGUUAGGGGGUUUCCGCCCCUUAGCGCUGCAGCUAACGCAUUAAGCACUCCGCCUGGGGAGUACGACCGCAAGGUUGAAACUCAAAGGAAUUGACGGGGACCCGCACAAGCGGUGGAGCAUGUGGUUUAAUUCGAAGCAACGCGAAGAACCUUACCAAAUCUUGACAUCCUUUGACAACUCUAGAGAUAGAGCCUUCCCCUUCGGGGGACAAAGUGACAGGUGGUGCAUGGUUGUCGUCAGCUCGUGUCGUGAGAUGUUGGGUUAAGUCCCGCAACGAGCGCAACCCUUAAGCUUAGUUGCCAUCAUUAAGUUGGGCACUCUAAGUUGACUGCCGGUGACAAACCGGAGGAAGGUGGGGAUGACGUCAAAUCAUCAUGCCCCUUAUGAUUUGGGCUACACACGUGCUACAAUGGACAAUACAAAGGGCAGCGAAACCGCGAGGUCAAGCAAAUCCCAUAAAGUUGUUCUCAGUUCGGAUUGUAGUCUGCAACUCGACUACAUGAAGCUGGAAUCGCUAGUAAUCGUAGAUCAGCAUGCUACGGUGAAUACGUUCCCGGGUCU
rnacentral:rRNA from 1 species